UGUCCAUUUCGCACGUUUUACAACAGACGGCGAUAGUAUGUCGCUCCAUGAUCCAUGAUGUUAGGUUGUGUGUCAGAUGUCAGAUUGACGUUUUUUGAUUUUGAAUUUUGAAUUUUGAUGUGAUGAUGUGAUUUGAUGUGAUGUGAUGGAAAAAGAAAUUUAUAAAAAUCAGGAUGACAAGCAGCAGAAAGUGUAUUAAUGUGAUAUGUGAUGUUUAUAAAAAUCAGGAAGGAAACAAUGACUUGUGAAUAUGAAGCGAUAGUGCUUUCACCAGUACUGUGCAGUUAUCCAGAUUACAAACCACAAGACACUGGAGAAAAUGAAAUUACAUGUCAACCUGUCGAUAAUGCACCAAAGAAACCAAAGUCACUUAUGUUGAUGGAACUGGAAAGUAUAAAAACGCGACAUCAACAACAAGUGAGGGUAAAUCUGUGCGAUAAAUAUUUAAAACUUGCAGA